UGGCAUACCUCUUCAGUCUUGUGUCAAUGCUUGUAUUGCAUUGAAUGCACGGUGGGUUUCUUGUGUUGCAUGCCUAAUUAAUGGUAUCGCUUGAUGAAUUGGUAUUCCUUUCGUCUUGUGUCGCCUAUACGAUGUGAGAUGAACCUUAAAGCAGCCUUUUUGAUCCACUCUUUUGAUGCAUACGCAUUGAUUUUGUGGCCCAUUGAGUGUUGCUUGGUCUCAUGGAUAUGGAACCUGGUGUGGGCAUGGAAUCUUACUGGUUCCUUGUUUGCCCAAGUUUAGCUUUUCUAAAACGAUUGUCUAUCAUGUGUUAACGUGGUAGACAGCUUCGAAUAUGAAUGCUACCUGGUUGAUCCUGCCAGUAGUCAUAUGCUUGUCUCAAAGAUUAAGCCAU
rnacentral:misc_RNA from 1 species